rnacentral:rRNA from 1 species
UACAGAGGGGGCAAGCGUUGUUCGGAAUUACUGGGCGUAAAGGGCGCGUAGGUGGCCUUCUAAGUUGAACGUGAAAUCCCUGGGCUCAACCCAGGAACUGCGUCCAAGACUGGGAGGCUUGAAUCCGGGAGAGGGAUGCGGAAUUCCAGGUGUAGCGGUGAAAUGCGUAGAUAUCAGGAGGAACACCGGUGGCGAAGGCGGAUCUCUGGGCCUUACCUGACGCUGAGGCGCGAAAGCUAGGGGAGCGAACAGG